UCCAAGAAUAGAACAUAUAUC
rnacentral:piRNA from 1 species